rnacentral:rRNA from 1 species
UACGAAGGGGGCUAGCGUUGUUCGGAAUUACUGGGCGUAAAGCGCACGUAGGCGGAUACUUAAGUCAGGGGUGAAAUCCCGGGGCUCAACCCCGGAACUGCCUUUGAUACUGGGUAUCUCGAGUCCGGAAGAGGUGAGUGGAAUUCCGAGUGUAGAGGUGAAAUUCGUAGAUAUUCGGAGGAACACCAGUGGCGAAGGCGGCCUCACUGGUCCGGUACUGACGCUGAGGUGGCGAAAAGCGUGGGGAGCAAACACGG